UUGCUUGAUUUUGUGCUCUCUUUCUUUUGUUUCUUCCUUUUGUUCGUUCGUUCAUUUCUUUUCUUCGUUUUCUUCUCAGGAAGA
rnacentral:ribozyme from 1 species